UGGGGAAUUUUGGGCAAUGGGCGAAAGCCUGACCCAGCAACGCCGCGUGGAGGACGAAAUCCCUCUGGGAUGUAAACUCCGAAAGUCAGGGAAGAAAUCCGUUUAAGGAAUAUUUAGACGGGAUGACGGUACCUGAUAUAAGCCCCGGCUAACUACGUGCCAGCAGCCGCGGUAAUACGUAGGGGGCAAGCGUUGUUCGGAAUUACUGGGCGUAAAGGGCGCGUAGGCGGCAUGGCAAGUCGGGAGUGAAAGCCCGGGGCUCAACCCCGGAGGGUCUCUCGAAACUGCCAAGCUAGAGUGCGGAAGAGGCAACUGGAAUUCCCAGUGUAGCGGUGAAAUGCGUAGAUAUUGGGAAGAACACCGGAGGCGAAGGCGGGUUGCUGGGCCGACACUGACGCUGAGGCGCGAAAGCCAGGGGAGCAAACGGGAUUAGAUACCCCGGUAGUCCUGGCCCUAAACGAUGGAUACUUGGUGUAUGGGGUUCUCACAGUCCCCGUGUGCCGUAGCUAACGCGGUAAGUAUCCCGCCUGGGGAGUAC
rnacentral:rRNA from 1 species